UUUCCGUAGGUGAACCUGCGGAAGGAUCAUUCCCAAUUUUUUUUUUCUCUCUUCAUUGAGAGGAAAGAAUUUGGUAUUCACCCAGUCUAUUGCAACGAUUCCUGGGUUAACAAAGAAUGGAUUUUCAAUUAAAAACAUUUUUUUUUAAUUACCAAUUGAUUCUUAAUUGAAUUGAAGUAUAAAAAAAAAGAAAGAAGGCUCUCAAUUGAGACUUUGGACUUUUUUUAAACAACUUUAAGCAAUGGAUCUCUUGGCUCUCGCAUCGAUGAAGAGCGUAGCAAAUUGCGAUAAUUAGUGCGAUCUGCAUUCUGCGAAUCAUCGAGUUCUUGAACGCACCUUGCACCCUUUGGCUUGUCCUUGGGGUAUGCUUGUUUCAGUACAACUAUAAACCCACAAAUGACAUUUUUUUAUUGAAAUGUCCAUUGGGAUUGGGAUGUCAAAGGGAAACCUUUCAUCCUGAAAAUGAGUCCAUAGGAUUAAAAAAUCAAUUGAGGUUUUUUUUUUUCCUUUGCAUCAAAUUUUUUUCAAUUAGAAAAAAAGCAAUUGGGAAAAAAGGAUCCAAUUCUUCAAACUCGUUGUCUGAAAUCAAGUAGGAUUACCCGCUGAACUUAA
rnacentral:misc_RNA from 1 species